rnacentral:rRNA from 1 species
AAAAAAGCGCGACGAUUUGAUUCUGACCUCAAAUCAGGCAGGACUACCCGCCGAACUUAAGCAUAUCAAUAAGCGGAGGAAAAGAAACUAACAAGGAUUCCCCUAGUAACGGCGAGUGAAGCGGGAAGAGCUCAAAUUUGUAAUCUGGCGGUCUAUGGCCGUCCGAGUUGUAGUCUGGAGAAGCGUUUUCUGCGUCGGACCGUGUACAAGUCCCUUGGAACAGGGCGUCGUAGAGGGUGAGAAUCCCGUCUUUGACACGGACCGCCGAUGCUUUGUGAUGCGCUCUCGAAGAGUCGAGUUGUUUGGGAAUGCAGCUCAAAACGGGUGGUAAAUUCCAUCUAAAGCUAAAUAUUGGCGAAAGACCGAUAGCGAACAAGUACCGUGAGGGAAAGAUGAAAAGCACUUUGGAAAGAGAGUUAAACAGUACGUGAAAUUGUUGAAAGGGAAACGCUUGAAGUCAGUCGCGUCCUUUGGGAUUCAGCCUCGCCCUUUCGCGUGGUGUAUUUCCUGAAGGGACGGGCCAGCAUCGAUUUUGACCGUCGGAGAAGGGCUGUGGGGAACGUGGCACCUUCGGGUGUGUUAUAGCCCCCGGUCGUAUGCGAGGGUUGGGAUCGAGGAUUGCAGCAUGCCUUUUUGGCCGGGGU